GUUGCUCAGUACCAGAUUCUUUCAAGUGCAAGGAGACAACUGUUGAUGAGGACCUGAUCUGUGCUGAUAUCAAUAGGUGGG